UACGUAGGUGGCAAGCGUUGUCCGGAUUUACUGGGCGUAAAGGGCGCGCAGGCGGCUGGUCAAGUCCGAUGUGAAAGCUCCCGGCUUAACUGGGAAACGGCAUCGGAAACUGAUCGGCUUGAAGGUGGGAGAGGGUAGUGGAAUUCCCGGUGUAGUGGUGAAAUGCGUAGAUAUCGGGAGGAACGCCAGUGGCGAAGGCGGGUCUCUGGACCGUUCCUGACGCUGAGGCACGAGGGUCAGGGGAGCAAACGGG
rnacentral:rRNA from 1 species